rnacentral:rRNA from 1 species
UUAAGCGACUAAGCGUACACGGUGGAUGCCCUGGCAGUCAGAGGCGAUGAAGGACGUGCUAAUCUGCGAUAAGCGUCGGUGAGGUGAUAUGAACCGUUAUAACCGGCGAUUUCCGAAUGGGGAAACCCAGUGUGUUUCGACACACUAUCAUUAACUGAAUCCAUAGGUUAAUGAGGCGAACCGGGGGAACUGAAACAUCUAAGUACCCCGAGGAAAAGAAAUCAACCGAGAUUCCCCCAGUAGCGGCGAGCGAACGGGGAGGAGCCCAGAGCCUGAAUCAGUGUGUGUGUUAGUGGAAGCGUCUGGAAAGGCGUGCGAUACAGGGUGACAGCCCCGUACACAAAAAUGCACAUAUUGUGAGCUCGAUGAGUAGGGCGGGACACGUGGUAUCCUGUCUGAAUAUGGGGGGACCAUCCUCCAAGGCUAAAUACUCCUGACUGACCGAUAGUGAACCAGUACCGUGAGGGAAAGGCGAAAAGAACCCCGGCGAGGGGAGUGAAAAAGAACCUGAAACCGUGUACGUACAAGCAGUGGGAGCCUCUUAAUGGGGUGACUGCGUACCUUUUGUAUAAUGGGUCAGCGACUUAUAUUCUGUAGCAAGGUUAACCGAAUAGGGGAGCCGAAGGGAAACCGAGUCUUAACUGGGCGUUAAGUUGCAGGGUAUAGACCCGAAACCCGGUGAUCUAGCCAUGGGCAGGUUGAAGGUUGGGUAACACUAACUGGAGGACCGAACCGACUAAUGUUGAAAAAUUAGCGGAUGACUUGUGGCUGGGGGUGAAAGGCCAAUCAAACCGGGAGAUAGCUGGUUCUCCCCGAAAGCUAUUUAGGUAGCGCCUCGUGAAUUCAUCUCCGGGGGUAGAGCACUGUUUCGGCAAGGGGGUCAUCCCGACUUACCAACCCGAUGCAAACUGCGAAUACCGGAGAAUGUUAUCACGGGAGACACACGGCGGGUGCUAACGUCCGUCGUGAAGAGGGAAACAACCCAGACCGCCAGCUAAGGUCCCAAAGUCAUGGUUAAGUGGGAAACGAUGUGGGAAGGCCCAGACAGCCAGGAUGUUGGCUUAGAAGCAGCCAUCAUUUAAAGAAAGCGUAAUAGCUCACUGGUCGAGUCGGCCUGCGCGGAAGAUGUAACGGGGCUAAACCAUGCACCGAAGCUGCGGCAGCGACGCUUAUGCGUUGUUGGGUAGGGGAGCGUUCUGUAAGCCUGUGAAGGUGUGCUGUGAGGCAUGCUGGAGGUAUCAGAAGUGCGAAUGCUGACAUAAGUAACGAUAAAGCGGGUGAAAAGCCCGCUCGCCGGAAGACCAAGGGUUCCUGUCCAACGUUAAUCGGGGCAGGGUGAGUCGACCCCUAAGGCGAGGCCGAAAGGCGUAGUCGAUGGGAAACAGGUUAAUAUUCCUGUACUUGGUGUUACUGCGAAGGGGGGACGGAGAAGGCUAUGUUGGUCGGGCGACGGUUGUCCCGGUUUAAGCGUGUAGGCUGGUUUUCCAGGCAAAUCCGGAAAAUCAAGGCUGAGGCGUGAUGACGAGGCACUACGGUGCUGAAGCGACAAAUGCCCUGCUUCCAGGAAAAGCCUCUAAGCAUCAGGUAACAUCAAAUCGUACCCCAAACCGACACAGGUGGUCAGGUAGAGAAUACCAAGGCGCUUGAGAGAACUCGGGUGAAGGAACUAGGCAAAAUGGUGCCGUAACUUCGGGAGAAGGCACGCUGAUAUGUAGGUGAAGCGACUUGCUCGUGGAGCUGAAAUCAGUCGAAGAUACCAGCUGGCUGCAACUGUUUAUUAAAAACACAGCACUGUGCAAACACGAAAGUGGACGUAUACGGUGUGACGCCUGCCCGGUGCCGGAAGGUUAAUUGAUGGGGUUAGCGGCAACGCGAAGCUCUUGAUCGAAGCCCCGGUAAACGGCGGCCGUAACUAUAACGGUCCUAAGGUAGCGAAAUUCCUUGUCGGGUAAGUUCCGACCUGCACGAAUGGCGUAAUGAUGGCCAGGCUGUCUCCACCCGAGACUCAGUGAAAUUGAACUCGCUGUGAAGAUGCAGUGUACCCGCGGCAAGACGGAAAGACCCCGUGAACCUUUACUAUAGCUUGACACUGAACAUUGAGCCUUGAUGUGUAGGAUAGGUGGGAGGCUUUGAAGUGUGGACGCCAGUCUGCAUGGAGCCGACCUUGAAAUACCACCCUUUAAUGUUUGAUGUUCUAACGUGGGCCCGUAAUCCGGGUUGCGGACAGUGUCUGGUGGGUAGUUUGACUGGGGCGGUCUCCUCCUAAAGAGUAACGGAGGAGCACGAAGGUUGGCUAAUCCUGGUCGGACAUCAGGAGGUUAGUGCAAUGGCAUAAGCCAGCUUGACUGCGAGCGUGACGGCGCGAGCAGGUGCGAAAGCAGGUCAUAGUGAUCCGGUGGUUCUGAAUGGAAGGGCCAUCGCUCAACGGAUAAAAGGUACUCCGGGGAUAACAGGCUGAUACCGCCCAAGAGUUCAUAUCGACGGCGGUGUUUGGCACCUCGAUGUCGGCUCAUCACAUCCUGGGGCUGAAGUAGGUCCCAAGGGUAUGGCUGUUCGCCAUUUAAAGUGGUACGCGAGCUGGGUUUAGAACGUCGUGAGACAGUUCGGUCCCUAUCUGCCGUGGGCGCUGGAGAACUGAGGGGGGCUGCUCCUAGUACGAGAGGACCGGAGUGGACGCAUCACUGGUGUUCGGGUUGUCAUGCCAAUGGCACUGCCCGGUAGCUAAAUGCGGAAGAGAUAAGUGCUGAAAGCAUCUAAGCACGAAACUUGCCCCGAGAUGAGUUCUCCCUGACUCCUUGAGAGUCCUGAAGGAACGUUGAAGACGACGACGUUGAUAGGCCGGGUGUGUAAGCGCAGCGAUGCGUUGAGCUAACCGGUACUAAUGAACCGUGAGGCUUAACCUU